GCCCUUACCUGGACGGGUCUACGGCUGAUCAUGGAGGGUCAUGGAGGGUCGUGGCCUAGAUUAACGGCUCGCAUUGCACUUGGUGCAACACGUUGGUCUACCAUCUCCCUACGGGGAGAGUGGACGCCAUAAUUUAUGGCAGAGGGGGUACUAGUGCAGAUUUCCCUA